AACAUCGCCUCUUGCCCCCAGAAUAUAAGAGGUCCCGCCUGCCCUGUGACGAAAGUUUAACGGCCGCGGUAUUUUGACCGUGCGAAGGUAGCGUAAUCACUUGUCUUUUAAAUAGAGACCUGUAUGAAUGGCAUAACGAGGGCUAAGCUGUCUCCUUUCUUUAGUCAAUGAAAUUGAUCUCCCCGUGCAGAAGCGAGGAUGACCACAUAAGACGAGAAGACCCUAUGGAGCUUUAGACUACGGGCAGAUCACGUUAAAAUACCCUCGUUACCGGGACAAAACCAAGUGACCCCUGGCCCCUCUGUCUUUGGUUGGGGCGACCGCGGGGUAACAAUUAACCCCCACGUGGAAAGGAAUAUAGCCUUAACGCCAGAGCCGCAGCUCUAGUUAGCAGAAACUCUGACCAUAAGAUCCGGCAAAGCCGAUCAACGGACCCAGUUACCCUAGGGAUAACAGCGCAAUCCCCUUAUAGAGCCCAUAUCGACAAGGGGGUUUACGACCUCGAUGUUGGAUCAGGACCUCCUAAUGGUGCAGCCGCUAUUAAGGGUUCGUUUGUUCAACGAUUAAAGUCCUACGUGA
rnacentral:rRNA from 1 species